CAGAGUUUGCAAAACUCCCUAAACCAUUGUGAACGUUACCUAAACCGUUGCUUCGGCGGGCGGGCCCGGGUCCUUCCCGGCGCCCCUCGCCCUCGCGGGCGCCCGCCGGAGGUAAACCAAACUUAUUGCAUUUGUAUGGCCUCUCUGAGUCUUCUGUACUGAAUAAGUCA
rnacentral:misc_RNA from 1 species